GCACCUUUAGCUCAGGUGGUAGAGCAACUGACUCUUAAUCAGUGGGUCCAGGGUUCGAUUCCCUGAAGGUGCACCA
rnacentral:tRNA from 1 species